UGGAAGACAAGGAUCUUCUUUGGUUGUUUU
rnacentral:piRNA from 2 species